CGGGCGGCCGUGACCCUGCUGGAGUGCGGGGGGGACCUCCAGCCCCCCGGGGGGUCCCUGCGCCUCCUCUGCCGAGGGUCCGGGUUCGAUUUCGGACAAUUUGGGAUGUACUGGUUUCGCCAGAGACCCGGGCAGGGGCUGGAAUACAUCGCCAGUAUCAACAGCAAUGGUGGCAGCACCGUCUACGCGCCGUCGGUCAAGGGCCGGUUCACGAUCUCCAGGGACAACGGGCAGAGCUCGGUGACGCUGACCAUGAACAACCUCAGGGACGAGGAUUCCGGAUCCUAUUUCUGUGCCAAACGGGACAAUGGUUAUGCUGGUGGUAAUGCUGCUGCUCUUUUUGCCAUCACUCCUGGUGGUGACCAUGAGGGUGCUCCCGGGCCCUGA